GAAGAAUAUAGGGAAAUAAACGCCUUCAUCUCUCUCUUGUCCCACCCGCAGAGCUCCUUCUGGGAUUCUCUAUUGGCUGAACUCAGCCAGAAGCUGCCAAGGGAGACCCCCACAACUGGAUGCAGCCCACUGAAGUCAGCUUCCUGGGGUGCGUAGCUGAAGGUAGCAGGGAGCAAAAAGAAUCUGAAGGGGAAGUGAACAAUGUAGAGCGUAUCUGUGCUGAAGACGUAAGGAGAGAGUGGAGGUCAGAAGCUGGCAUGGUCCCUGGUGCAUGUAUCAGCCGCUAAAGCUGGAGUGGAUGAAUCAGAACUUUCCCCAUGGGAGCAUUUAUAAAAAGGGGACACCCAGCGCAGAAGAUGUUUUCCAGGGAGAUCUCGGGGAGCCCAACAAGCCAAGAAGAGCAGAGCAAAGCAUUCCAAGGAAGGACUCUAAGUCUGCAACCGAGCACACACGAGGGUAGCCUACGCAUGUACGUCUUGCAGUGAUGGCAAGGAGCAGGAGAAAGAAAGCCCAUCCAAACAAGCAUAUUGGAAGCCUAUGUAUCCCAUAAGCUGACAUCUUGUUGCCCAAAGCAUGUCAUGUGCGUGGUCCAGAGUCAGUGUUGAAGGGCUCUGCAAAAUCACAUGGUAAAGACUGUGGUUUCAGGGAGGAGUGAAGAUUUGUGCGCAUUGCUCCAAUUGACAACCAUGGCACUAGGCUCAGGCCACACUUCUUCCUAACAAGAGAGCAAGUCAAAGCGUGGUUAGUUAAAGUCCAUACAAAAACUCACUUUAACAGGCCUCCUCUGGAUUGAACAGCUGAUAUUAAGUCAUAAGGUACCACAUCAGAAAGAUACUGGGUAUCUUUGGUUCAGCAAUUCCAUCACCAGGGACUUUUUCAUCCUAAGGAAAUCACUGCACGGUGGACAAAGAUAUAUGCAUAAGGAUGCUCCUUCUGGCCAAAGACCAAAAACAUAACUGGCCAUCAGUAAAAGCCAACACAAGGAAAGACCAUGUGAAUACACAGCAAGAACGUGGUGCUCUGCAAGUCAGAAACAGACCCGUCAUCAGACACCAAAUCAGCCAGCACCUUGAUCUAGGAU
rnacentral:lncRNA from 10 species